GAUCUAGGAGGGGUGGCUGCAGUUCGCCGCGCGGAUUUGCCCAGGCCACGCUGGCAUCCUACGGAUCAGGUCGGGCGCCACAUGGCCGCACGAAAUGGCGCGCGUUAUCCUCUGGACGGAUACAAUUGGCUGCAACGCACUCUGCAAAUCAUGCCAUGAAGUGACCAAUUUUCACCUAUCAGGAUAGAUCCAAUGUGCCACGGCAUGCACUCAAAAACAGAACUUGCUAAUCCCUCCAAUCCAUAAAAAAUCUCGCCCACUUAUUAGAAAAUUUGUAAUGAGUUAAUGCAAAAUGAGCAGCACUUUUUAUGAACUAGAGGAACAACAAAUUAAGAGAAACUCUUCUAAGAUCUUAUCGAGAACGAAGCUUGCCCCCGCGUCGCUCAGUCUGGGGCGACACGGGCGGCAACCACACCAGCCCCGGCAGCAGCCUCUCCCCGUCCUCUCCUCCCCCUCGCCGCCGCCGGGCAAAGCCCGCACGGGGACGGCGGCGGCGGGGCUGUUUUUCUUGGCGGGGGUGUCCUAGAGCUCUUGGCUGAGGCGUUUGAGGUGCUGCCUCAUCGUGGUCGCGGCGUCUCCGGCCCGAUCCGGCAGGCUAUGCCUCGUCUUCGGCUAGAUCCGGCCGGCUUCCUCCCGGAUCCGGUGUUUCCCCUCGUUCUUCCUCUCCCUGGUGCUCGGUCUGCUCGUGGCUGCGCGGCUUCACGGCGGCGCUCUUCGGCCGGAUCUAGCUACUCGUUGGCCAGAUCCGUCAUCUCCUCCGGCUGAUCCGGCAUGUCCCAGAUGGGCUGCUGCUGCGGCCAUACAUGGUCCAAGUCGGUCCUUUUCGAUGCCAUGGUGGCGUGGUUUUCAUUUUCGGUCGCGUCUUCGGCUGCUGCCCGUGUGCGAGGUAUGGACGUCGGCUCCGGUGUUUGGAGUGUUGCUCUGGAUGAAAACUGCCCGUGUGCGAGGUAUGCCGAAGACAACGAUGUUGUAGCGCCGUUUUCCUUCUUGGAGGUGUCGUCGAAGAGCUUCACUUUCCCUCACUUUGAUGUUUGGUGUCUUCGGGUGAAAACCUAAGAUUUGGCUAUGGCCAGAUCGGGCGACAACGGCGUUUUUACGUCGAUUUCCUCCUUGGGGGCGUUGUCAUGGAGACAACGACUCUUGGUGGCAUCGGGUGGUGUGGUCCGUCUAUGGUGGAGCUUGUUGUCUCGAGUUGUUGAAGGUUUGGUGGUGUCUCUUCUUGUGUCAUGUGUUAGCUUAGGCUGUCGGUUUGUGUCCGGCGAGAACGUGCGUUUCUUAUCCUUUGGUGCGGUUUCGGCAUGUGAUGCCUUUCGUCUUCACUAUCGUCACGUAGGUGUCGUGUUGUAUUCUCGGUGGUGUGUGGUCUUUCGGCUUAGCCAACGGCAAGUGGAGGUAUGAUCUCGGUUGUGUAUUGCCCUUCGACUUCAUCGGCGGCACAUCGGCGUCGCGGUGGGUCUCAGUGACGCGCAGCCCUUCGACUCUGCCGGCUACGUAGGUGUCAUGGUGCGGCCUUGACCCUGUGCUUCCCUUCAGCUACGGCGACGACAUAGUGUCUGGGUGGGCUCGUCAGAUCGACGCCUUUCGACUACAUCAACUAUGCUCUUCAUUGUGCAUUUAUUUUGCCAUUGACAUGUUUCAAGAGUCUAGGUUUUUUCCUUGUGUUUCUUUUAGCAAAUGCUGUUCUGCAGGCUGGCUUUUGCCCACCCGAUCAGAAAAGAAAAACAAAUUAAAGGCUAAAAUCAAGCGAUGUUAUAUUCCCUUAGCUAUUACAAAUAUGGAUGAUAAGAGUUAUUUAUCCUUUUUCAA